rnacentral:misc_RNA from 1 species
GAUGAAGAACGUAGCGAAAUGCGAUACGUAAUGUGAAUUGCAGAAUUCAGUGAAUCAUCGAGUCUUUGAACUCACAUUGCGCCCCCUGGUAUUCCGGGGGGCAUGCCUGUCCGAGCGUCAUUGCUGCCCUCAAGCACGGCUUGUGUGUUGGGCCUCCGUCCUCCUCCCGGGGGACGGGCCCGAAAGGCAGCGGCGGCACCGCGUCCGGUCCUCGAGCGUAUGGGGCUUCGUCACCCGCUCUUGUAGGCCCGGCCGGCGCUUGCCGACACAUCAAUCUUUUUUCCAGGUUGACCUCGGAUCAGGUAGGGAUACCCGCUGAACUUAAGCAUAUCAAUAAGCGGAGGA